CCAUGAUCUUUAGCGGCGUUU
rnacentral:miRNA from 1 species